AUGAAACCUGCUGGAUUUGCCAAGAACCUGCAACUUUGAAAGUGCUAAGGAUAUACCCAUGUUCAUUUCUGCUAAAAAUUAGCUUCAUAUGCAUCAUUGAAACUUCAUAAAUCAGUUCAUCAUCUACAACCAUUCAGCACACCCUUGCCAACAUUCAUGACACAGAAAGUUAGUGUAGAAAUAUAUGGCAGGGCUAGACCAUUUCAGUUAUACUACCAGGUACAAAUACACAAUUAUUUUCUCUUGUCACUAACAUGUGUUAGUCACUAACAUGUGUUACAGAACAGUAACCAUUUAUUUUACUUUACAAUAUUUUCUUAUGCACAAUAUCUUUGACGCUACUGGAUGGCUCGCAUGCUCAAUUUACAGGCAUUAGAAAUUUUUUAGUGCAUUCCAAUUCUAUCAACCUACACAGCAUUCCAUUAUUCCAACCUUAUUCCAGAGUAGUUCUGUGCACUUUAAAGCCUAACGUUUGUGGAUCCAGAAAAGAAGCAAAUUUUGUAUGUAUAUAUGUGUAGAUCCAGGUGAUCGCUAUUGUUAGCUUUUGUUUACAAUGGUUGCCACCCAAAAAAGUUGUAACUCGCUCAUUUCUAGACUUGUGAAUAAUGUUGUUAGCACUAUGUUUGCUUUUGCAGUGACACUACCUGACGCUUGUAAUGUUGUUUGGUCGUGAACUGUUGCCGCGCUAUGUAAAGAUCUAGACAUAACCACUUUGUUUGCAUGCUUGUUGACUCCCAUAACAACUUUAGAUUAGUUUGCCAUUUAUUAUAUGUGUUCCUUUUU